UAUCUCUGUAGAGUCUGCAUAUCAAUAAGCGGAGGAAAAGAAACUAACAAGGAUUCCCUAGUAACGGCGAGUGAAGCGGGAAGAGCUCAAAUUUGAAAUCUUAAAGGUUUCCCUUGACGAAUUGUAGUUUAAAGAAGUGUUUUCUGUUGGAGUUUCGGUAAAAGUUCUUUGGAAUAGGACAUCAUAGAGGGUGAGAAUCCCGUAUUUGACCGUUACUUUCCAGCUGUGUGAUACACUUUCAAAGAGUCGGAUUGUUUGGGAAUGCAGUCCAAGAUGGGUGGUAAAUUUCAUCUAAAGCUAAAUAUUGGCGAGAGACCGAUAGCGAACAAGUACCGUGAGGGAAAGAUGAAAAGAACUUUGAAAAGAGAGUUAAACAGUACGUGAAAUUGUCAAAAGGGAAGCGUUUGACACCAGUGUUGUUUAGUUGAAAAUCAAUUCAAUAGUUUUUGAUUCUAAGUAGUAUUGACUUCAUCAGCUUGCUGCUUUCUUCUCAGAAAUUAUUGAAUGCACUUUUCAGUUAACAAGUCAACAUCAAUUUCUUUUGUUGUAAAAGGGUAGGAGGAAGGUGGCUUGCGCUUUGGCUCAAGUGUUUAUAGCCUUUUAUCUCUGCAAUCGGAGAGAUUGAGGUCUGCAGCGUAGAUCCUUCGGGGUUAGAUACAUUGGUGCUAAGCUAUAGCCUUGUAUAGACAACUUGUUGACUAUGCUCAGUCAUGUAGCUUACUCGCUGAUGCUAUUUUACCUACGCUUAGGAUGUUGACUGAUAUGUAGUCGU
rnacentral:rRNA from 1 species